rnacentral:piRNA from 1 species
UGACUCAAUGUGUCCCUGAGCUGUGGCCAGC